rnacentral:lncRNA from 1 species
CCCUGUGGUUGCCAUCUGAAGGUAGGGUAGUCGAGAUCUGGCCGUCCAUUUUUCUUGCAAGCGAACUCGCGUCUUAUGAAUGGACACGUGGAUGGAUCGUAGAGAGGGUAGGAAGCAUCCUUCACCCACUGACCCGUGAACAUAUCACAUCCCUUUGCAAGAAGAGGAAGGAGGAGGAGCAGCGAUAACACUAAUGCAGAGCCAUAAGAAAUGGCGUUUUCCUGUAAAACCAUUUCAGCACAGACGAGAGCGAGAGAUAAAGAGAGAUUCAAAUACUCACCUGGGAUUUUAUACACCCACAAAUCUAUAUAUAUAUUAUGUAUAUAACUUUGUUGUUUGUUUGAGUCAAAUAUAUGAACUAUAAUUCCAUAUUUGUUUUGGUAAGAAAUCUUUUUUUUUUGGAUAAAUAUUGGUAAGAAAUCUUGAAAUCAAAUAUGAACAUUACUUUGUAUAUAUCUAGCAGUAUAGAUGGAUCAUAUUAAACAAAGACAAGCCAAUCAUUUGUGAACAGAGGUACAAAUGUUGUAAGAACAACAAUAUAUAUUUUCUGCCAACUUAUAAUCCAAAUUAGUCAUUAUGGUUAGCAAUUAAACAUAUAUAGUUCCAUACUAUCUCCAUGUGGGGUUAAUUAGGCUUCCAGCUAAACAUCCUAAUUGAUAAAAGCAAUAUUUUGUGUUAACUGCCAUUAUUUCAUCUAAAUUGUUUUGGACAUCUUGAAAAGACACAAUUAAAAAGAAACAUAAUUGUCUUAAACAAAAUUUUAUCACAUUCAAAAGUAAAUUUUACAAAAAGAAAUGCAUGACACAAUUACAUGCUUGUUUUUUUUUGAACAUAAUGGAUAACUAAACGGCCCUAGAGUUCCAAUAAGCAGAAUCAGGCUUAAGAGGGUAAAGAUCGCUGGUGUUGGCCGUGGAAGUAGAAGACGACGUGAACGGCCCGUCGGUGCUGAUAGUCUGAUCCAACAUAUUCAUCUCCUCUUCAUUUAUCAUCGCGUAAUGCUUCUUCAUUGCCCUCACGCUCUCAUUAUCUUUCUCGCUUCCUUUGUUGAAGGAAGCUUCAAGAAGCUUCUCAACAUUCACAGUGGAACUUCCUUCGAGAAUACUCACCACCGUCGACAUGGAUGGUCUUUCCGACGAAACUUUACUGGUGCAGAGGAUCCCUAUCUGGAUCAUGGUCAUUGCUUCUUCUCUGUUGUAAUCUGUUGCAAGCCUCGGGUCUACUACUUCAUCAGUUUGUUUUGCUCCCUUAGAACGUGUACCUUGGAAAUAUAUUGAGAUUCAGAGUCAUCAUUUUGUUUCAGAAAAGUAUUUAGGGUUUAGGGUUUAGAGGCGAAAAGAUAAUAACUUACCCAGUCAAGAAGGUUGAAGGUCUCGACUCUGAAACGUGUGAUCGUGUUGCUUCUUCCAUGAACGAUUUCUAGGGCCACAACUCCAAAACUAUAAACGCUCCCAAUCUUCUCACUCACUAUAUCUACCAAAUACGGAUUCCUAUCAAACUUUAUUUCAACUCCAUACUCCUGAAAACAUUAAGCAUUUAUUGUUUAGUUUGGUUUAACUCAUCCCAGUUUUCUAUUUGACAGAUAUAUUUUACGUAACCAGAACGAGUGUAUUAUUAUUACCUGGAAUGUGAAGGUUGAGAUAGUAGUGCCUUCUGUGGUCAUAGUAUAGGGAGACUUGGGAACAGAAGAGUGGAGCAUACAUGUCAAAGACUGCCAUUGAUUUAGGCUAAGAGAAUCACCUACAAACAUUAUCUUCUUCCCUCUAUUUUUCUGCAAAAAAUCUACUCCAUUGAACCUACACAACAAAACAGUAAAAUAACGGUGGCUUCUUAAGGCAAGUGUGAUAAAUGAUAAUUAACGUUAAAAUCAAGAAAUUUUCUGGCUUGUGUGUGUGUUAUUUAUUCAAAAUGAUACAUUUGAUGCAAAACAUCUAGAAACAACAACAAAGAAAGAAUUAAAAAGGAAUUAUAGAUUAACUGAUGAUACCAUGCUAAUUUGCAUCCCUGUGGUUGCCAUCUGAAGGUAGGGUAGUCGAGAUCUGGCCGUCCAUUUUUCUUGCAAGCGAACUCGCGUCUUAUGAAUGGACACGUGGAUGGAUCGUAGAGAGGGUAGGAAGCAUCCUUCACCCACUGACCCGUGAACAUAUCACAUCCCUUUGCAAGAAGAGGAAGGAGGAGGAGCAGCGAUAACACUAAUGCAGAGCCAUAAGAAAUGGCGUUUUCCUGUAAAACCAUUUCAGCACAGACGAGAGCGAGAGAUAAAGAGAGAUUCAAAU